rnacentral:rRNA from 1 species
GUCAAGCUACAAAGGGCUAAGCGGUG